AUGGCUUGAGAAAGUUGUCAACUUCACAUAUUCUUCUUCCCUCUCACGGCCCAUGGUCACCAGAUACCAACCAUGGACAUGGCCAAGCUAUUUGCAGAGCGUGGCGUGAGGGCAACCAUUGUCACUACUCCUCGCAACUGCCUUUAUUCUCCAAAACUCACAACAUCAACAAUGUUGAUAUCCAAAUAAGCAAGUUCUUUGCUGUAGAGGCUGGCUUGCUAGAAGGAUGUGAGAAUGUUGACUCACUGAAUUUCCCAGACAUGGUUCCAGCUUUCACUAAAGCCACUCAGAUGCUUCGACAACCAUUCGAGCAACUAGUACAAGAUCACCAACCUAGUUGCCUUGUUGCCGAUAUGUUCUUUCCAUGGGCAAUUGAUAUUGCUGCUAAAUUUGCUAUUCCAAGGCUUAUUUUCCACGGGACCUGUUUUUUCUCUCUUUGUGCAAACCAUAGUAUGGGGCUAUAUGAACCUUACAAGAAAGUUUCAUCUGAUUUUGAAACUUUUGUCAUUCCUAAUUUUCCGGGGGAGAUCAAGUUUACAAGGAUGCAACUUCCAGACUUUACUCGCCAAGAUGUUGAAACAGACUUUUCCAAGUUGUUUAAAGAAGUUAUGGAAUCAGAGUUGAGGAGCUAUGGGGUAGUUGUUAACAACUUCUAUGAGCUUGAGCCGGCUUAUGCAGAGCAUUACAAGAAGGUUAUAGGAAGAAAGGCAUGGCAUAUAGGUCUAGUUUCACUAUGCAACAAGGAAGUUGAAGAUAAAGCCAAGAGGGGAAAGGAAGCGUCCAUUGAUGAACAUGAAUGUUUGAAGUGGCUUGCUACAAGGAAACCAAAUUCGGUUGUUUACGUUUGUUUUGGGAGUAUAGCAAACUUCAUGAUUCUCAGCUCAUGGAGAUUGCAAUGGGUCUUGAGGCUUCUGGACAACAAUUCAUUUGGGUUGUGAGGAAAGGCAAAAAUGAGAAAGAAGAAGAAGAUUGGUUACCUAAAGGAUUUGAUAAAAGAAUGGAAAGUAAGAGACUGAUUAUAAGAGGUUGGGCACCCCAAAUGUUGAUUCUUGAUCAAGAAGCAGUUGGAGGAUUUGUGACUCAUUGUGGGUGGAACUCAACCUUGGAAGGAGUGAUUGCAGGGGUACCCAUGGUCACAUGGCCUAUGGGUGCUGAGCAAUUUUUCAAUGAGAAGAUAGUGACUCAUGUACUUAAACUUGGGGUUGAUGUAUGUGUUUACCAAUGGACAAGUAUGGUGGGAGAUGGUAUCAAGAGGGAAGCAUUAGAGAAGGCAAUGAGGCAAAUUAUGGUUGGUGAAGAAGCAGAUGAAAUGAGAGGCAGAGACAAGACAUUUGGGAAGAUGGCAAGGAACUGAAGAAGGCGGAUCAUCCUACUCUGAUUUGAAUGCUUUAAUUGAAGAAUUAAGUUUGCAUUGCCCUUGACCUUUGAUCCAAGAAAUUUCCAAUAUGAUUCUUUCAUUAUUAAAAAAUAAAAGGGGAUUUAUCUUUGUUGGUGUGUGUGAGUUUUACUCACUUAAUUAUUCUUCAAUAAUUGUAGGUUGUGGUCCUAAUAUGGUUCUUUUUGUUAGGGUUUGUGCCCUAAAAUCCAAUUUAUUGGCAUGUUAUAAAUAAUUAAAUUGUUUAAUUAUACGAGACUCUUUGUAUAUGUACUAAUUGGAUAUUAUCAUAUAGUUCUUGAGAUAUAUU